rnacentral:rRNA from 1 species
GAUGAACGCUGGCGGCGUGCCUAAUACAUGCAAGUCGAGCGAACGGACGAGAAGCUUGCUUCUCUGAUGUUAGCGGCGGACGGGUGAGUAACACGUGGAUAACCUACCUAUAGGACUGGGAUAACUUCGGGAAACCGGAGCUAAUACCGGAUAAUAUUUUGAACCGCAUGGUUCAAAAGUGAAAGACGGUCUUGCUGUCACUUAUAGAUGGAUCCGCGCUGCAUUAGCUAGUUGGUAAGGUAACGGCUUACCAAGGCAACGAUGCAUAGCCGACCUGAGAGGGUGAUCGGCCACACUGGAACUGAGACACGGUCCAGACUCCUACGGGAGGCAGCAGUAGGGAAUCUUCUGCAAUGGGCGAAAGCCUGACGGAGCAACGCCGCGUGAGUGAUGAAGGUCUUCGGAUCGUAAAACUCUGUUAUUAGGGAAGAACAUAUGUGUAAGUAACUGUGCACAUCUUGACGGUACCUAAUCAGAAAGCCACGGCUAACUACGUG